AGGGAAUAUUGGGCAAUGGAUGCAAGUCUGACCCAGCCAUGCCGCGUGCAGGAAGAAGGUCCUCUGGAUUGUAAACUGCUUUUAUCGGGGAAGAAUAGUUCUCUUGCGAGGGAAUGUGACGGUACCCGAUGAAUAAGCCACGGCUAACUACGUGCCAGCAGCCGCGGUAAUACGUAGGUGGCAAGCGUUGUCCGGAUUUAUUGGGUUUAAAGGGUGCGUAGGUGGUUUUAUAAGUCAGUGGUGAAAGCUGGUUGCUCAACAAUCAAGUUGCCAUUGAUACUGUUAGACUUGAGAGAAGUGGAGGUUCAUGGAAUGGAUGGUGUAGCGGUGAAAUGCAUAGAUAUCAUCCAGAACGUCGAUUGCGAAGGCAGUGGGCUGUACUUUUUCUGACACUGAGGCACGAAAGCGUGGGGAUCAAAC
rnacentral:rRNA from 1 species